UGGAGAGAUGGCCGAGUGGAUGAAGGCGCGCGACUCGAAAUCGCGUAUCCUGAAAAGGAUCGGGGGUUCGAAUCCCUCUCUCUCCGU
rnacentral:tRNA from 1 species